GGGGAUUACGGGCUUCGGCACA
rnacentral:siRNA from 1 species